UGUUAAUGUAACACAAUGCUUGUCGUUAUGUGAGAAAAUCAGCUUGGAGGAGUGAAAACACAGGGCUCUGAUGUGGCUUUGUUCUUCAGAGAAGCAUCACUGCAGGCUUUAGACCUCCUGAACAAGGCUGCACUAAGGACAGACCGGGGAGCAGAAGAGGAGCCGCAGCAGUGCAGAGGAUGAACGGCCUAAUCUUUCCUCCAGGCGCCAUCACACAGGAACACUAAUAUCUGCACGGCCGGCGUCUCAUUCCUCAAGUGCAGCCACGUUGCUGUUGUUAUGUGUGUGUGUUGAUCCCUAUGCUGGCAGCCUCUGAGGGCCCAGAGAGUUCACCGGUGUCACAUGAUCAACAUCACUCAUGUGUGAAGUUCUUGGCACAUACAGAUCAAAAUGUUUACCCUCCAGUUCAGCUGAUUAAAAAAGAAAACCUG